rnacentral:lncRNA from 13 species
GUUCCCUCUGUCACCCAGGAGGCUGGAGCGCAGCGGUGCGAUCUCAACUCACUGCAACCUUCAUCUUCCAGAUUCAAGUGAUUCUCCACCACUCCUGGCUAGUUUUGUAGUUUUAGUAGAGACGGGGUUUCGCCAUGUUGGUCAGGCUGGUCUCGAACUCCCGAUCAAGUGAUCCGCCUGCCUCAACCUCCCAAAGUGCUGGGAUUUCAGGGAUUACAGCGCUCGACUGAAAAUGACCAGCUUUCUUACCAUGCGUUUCUCCAAAGUCAUAUCCUCCAACAAUGUCAACCUCUCAGGGGCAGGACCUCGGUUCCCCAGCACGUGGGGUGGGGGUGGGGUUUGCUGUUGGAAGUGCCUGACACCGGAGGCAGCCAGAGCAGGCUGCAGACAGUUCUACUGAGGACCCCAGCCUCUGUGAUGUCACACUGGGCUUCUUUCCUUUCAUCCUGGGUUGUGGCCAUGGAGCUCUGGAAGCAGGGCGGGGGGAGGAAGCCUGCUGGCUGUGACCUGCCCUGGAGGCGUAGGAGGCCCAGCCAUGAUACCCUUACCGGAUGCCAUGACCCUUGGGAAGGAGCCCCGUCCUCUGCCUCUGGUCCCACUUCCCUGGGUCCUUCCCAGCCUGUUUGCUGCCUGCAAUGUGGUGCUGCUGGUCUUUUUCAGUGGCCUCUUCUUCGCAUUCCCGUGAGUCUCCCAGUUGCAGGUGGCUGGCUCAGAAUGGGGAGUGGGCCUUUCCUAUGGUCACAGGCCCCCUCUUUGUCCUCACCUUCUUCAGUCUUGUUUCACUCAACUUCUCAGACCCUGGCAUCUUACAUCAAGGUGAGGCAUCAGCCCCCCGGGAGAAGGAGGCAGCACGGCAAGGACUGUACCUGCAGGGAUGGUUCCUAAAGUGCCCUUCCUGCCGCCCUCCUCCAGCCUCUGGACCCCUUCACCCCACAUCUUCAUUGCUCUGGCCCUGGCACCCCAUUUCUUAAGCCAUCAAAAUGUGGAAAAACAGAAUCGUUGAGGUUUCCCAGGGGCCUACAUGGGAAGACUGGGUGGGCCAGGGUCAGAAGCCAGUGGGCUCUUCCAGACCGCCGUUUGCACGUCCUUCACUGCACAAUGCAACUGAGAGCAGCACGCCCUGCUCCAAAGGCCUGACGUUUUGUUUUGUUUUGUUUUGUUUUGUUUUGAGACAGUCUUGCUCUUGUUGCCCAGGCUGGAGUGCAAUGGUGCCAUCUCGGCUCACAGCAGCCUCCGCCUCCCGGGUUCGAGCAAUUCUCCUACCUCAGCCUCUCGAGUAGCUGGGAUUAUAGGCAUGCAUCACCAAGCCUGGCUAAUUUUUUGUAUUUUAAGUAGAGAUGGGGUUUCUCCAUGUUGGUCAGGCUGGUCUCGAACUCCCAACCACAGGUGAUCCCAAAGUGCCGGGAUUACCGGCAUGAGCCACCUCGCCAUACCAGGCCUGAGUUUUAUACAAAACUCUCCUGGCUGAAAACCCAUCUUCCCUUUGACUGCCAUCCUCUCUGAGCUUGGAUAGCUUGC